CGGGGGUGCAUGAAGAAAAAUCUCAGUGAGAUUCAUCUUAAAUGAGUCCGGCCCAGCCCUUUUUCUUCCUUUUCUUCAGAAAAACUUGCACACCAUGCAUCGCAGAAUCUCUUAUGGCGCGCGAACCGAAGAGCGUUGGUGUGAAGAUCCUAUGGCUUUGGACUUUUGGAACCGCCGCCAUCCUAGUCACCAACGCCAUGCGCACCAGAAUGAGAGACAUGGAAGCACUCAUGAACGCCGAACAACAACAGCAGCACGAUUCCGCUACCACUGACUCGUCUUGGUGGACAUGAAUAGAGAUUGAUCUGCACUGUUUCUGACUCGUUCUUGGAGUGUGAGUUGCUGAUUAAACUCGCCAAGGAUAAAAGGGCACGCGACGUGUUUGUUGAAUGUCGUAACUGAACUACCGCCAGCGAAAUUUGGAACCCAGGCACGAUGGUGAUUUUUUUUUAAUACUUUAUUAUUUGUCAUCGAUUUUUGUGAUUGUGGCAUGUGUUUUGCACCAUAUUCCCAUAAAUUGAUCUUCUUGUGGGCUUGGCACUUUGACAUUGUUGAUGUUGUGGGAUUCGUUUAAGUUAAUAUUUUAUUUAGAUGCUGAAAA